rnacentral:rRNA from 1 species
GACAGAGGAUGCAAGCGUUAUCCGGAAUGAUUGGGCGUAAAGCGUCUGUAGGUGGCUUUUCAAGUCCGCCGUCAAAUCCCAGGGCUCAACCCUGGACAGGCGGUGGAAACUACCAAGCUGGAGUACGGUAGGGGCAGAGGGAAUUUCCGGUGGAGCGGUGAAAUGCGCAGAUAUCGGGAGGAACACCAAUGGCGAAGGCAGCUCGCUGGGACGUUACUGACGCUGAGACGCGAAAGCGUGGGGAGCAAACAGG